rnacentral:rRNA from 1 species
UACGUAGGGGGCAAGCGUUGUCCGGAUUUAUUGGGCGUAAAGCGCGUGUAGGCGGCUUGGCAAGUCAGUUGUGAAAGCCCGGGGCCCAACCCCGGAACUGCAUCUGAAACUGCCUGGCUAGAGUCCCGGAGAGGAAGGCAGAAUUCCCGGUGUAGGGGUGAAAUGCGCAGAUAUCAGGAGGAACACCGGUGGCGAAGGCGGGUCUCUGGGCAACAACUGACGCUGAGGAGCGAAAGCGUGGGGAGCAAACAGG